rnacentral:rRNA from 1 species
GAUGAACGCUGGCGGCGUGCCUAAUACAUGCAAGUCGAGCGAACAGACGAGGAGCUUGCUCCUCUGACGUUAGCGGCGGACGGGUGAGUAACACGUGGAUAACCUACCUAUAAGACUGGGAUAACUUCGGGAAACCGGAGCUAAUACCGGAUAAUAUAUUGAACCGCAUGGUUCAAUAGUGAAAGACGGUUUUGCUGUCACUUAUAGAUGGAUCCGCGCCGCAUUAGCUAGUUGGUAAGGUAACGGCUUACCAAGGCGACGAUGCGUAGCCGACCUGAGAGGGUGAUCGGCCACACGGGAACGGAGACACGGUCCAGACUCCUACGGGAGGCAGCAGUAGGGAAUCUGCCGCAAUGGGCGAAAGCCUGACGGAGCAACGCCGCGUGAGUGAUGAAGGUCUUCGGAUCGUAAAACUCUGUUAUUAGGGAAGAACAAAUGUGUAAGUAACUAUGCACGUCUUGACGGUACCUAAUCAGAAAGCCACGGCUAACUACGUG